GAAAUGCGAUAAGUAAUGUGAAUUGCAGAAUUCCGUGAAUCAUCGAAUCUUUGAACGCACAUUGCGCCCUCUGGUAUUCCGGGGGGCAUGCCUGUCCGAGCGUCAUUGCGAACCCCUCAAGCACGGCUUGUGUGAUGGGCCCUCCCGCGUCUUGGUCGUCAAGACGGGCCCGGAAUGCAGUGGCGGCUUCGCGGUUAUCCGAUCAGCCAGAGCGUAUGGGGACUUUCUCUCUGUCACACGCCCGCGGCGCGGACCGACGCCUGUCGACCUUCAUUCAUCGUUUUCUCGGUUGACCUCGGAUCAGGUAGGGAUACCCGCUGAACUUAAGC
rnacentral:misc_RNA from 1 species